CACAUUUUAUUAUACUUAUUCACAUUUACCAUCAUAGGCGCGACAACAGCUGAGGGAAAUGGAAUAGAGGUUAACAAAUAGGAUUCCUUUAUCUUUAGACUGAGAGGAUAUCCAUUAUGCCUGGCGAUGUGUGGAGGAACAGUGCCGAAGAAAAUCUCUCAAGUGAAAUAAGUGUAGUUAGUUCUAAGCCGCGGACACUCUCGAGGGCUACUCUAAGUCUAUAUACACCAAGUCAAGUCAUGCGCAGGUUUGUGGGAGGAGACACGGCCGAGGCGUGGUUUAUGCGUGACGUUGCUUGGAGCCAAACUAGAGAAUGUAGAAACAGGAAUUUAGAGAAAACGAGGAAAGGCGGACUAAUUUAAAUCAAUCACUUCAACAUGCCCUCCCUCACACCCCACACCGCCGUUUGUAGUCAUUGAAAUUACAGUCACGCAAUAGCAAAAUAAAAAGA